GUACUUGCUCUGACAGCACAUAGACUAAAACUGGAAUGACACGGAGAUUAGUAUGGCCCUGGAGCAAGGAUGACACACAAAUUUGUGAAAUGUUCCAUAUUUUU
ensembl:snRNA U6 U6 spliceosomal RNA